CAAAACUCGUACCUUUUGCAUCAUGAUCUAGCCAGUAUACCCAAGCAAAGAGAACUCCAGUUUGAAACCCCGAAACCUCCGACGAGCUACCUCAAGGCCGCCUAAAAUAGGGCAAACCCAUCUCUGUGGCAAAAGAGUGGAAUGACCUUCAGGUAGAGGUGAAAAGCCUACCGAGUCAGGUUAUAGCUGGUUGCUCAGAAAACGAAUAGAAGUUCAGCCCCAUAAACGCCCCCAACCAACCAUAACAACCACACAGGUUAACAGGGCCACCUAUGGGAGUUAGUUAAAGGAGGUACAGCUCCCUUAACAAAGGACACAACCUUAAAUAGAAGGCUAAGGAAUAUACUUAACCAAAGGCCUAAAAGUUAUAGUAGGCCCAAAAGCAGCCACCUAAACAGAAAGCGUUAAAGCUCAAACCUAACUAAGCCUAACAUUCCAUUCAACCCUCCAAUGCCUCUAUAUAUUACUGAGCCAUUUUAUGCCCACAUAAAAGAGACUAUGCUAGAACAAGUAAUAAGAAGAAAGAACUUCUCCCCGCACAAGUGUACAUCGAACCGGACACACCACCGAUAAUUAACGAACCCAAAAACAGAGGGCAAUACACUACAAACAUCCUAACAAGAAAAUCACGUCCCAACCACAAUCGUUACCCCUACACAGGAGUGCACACCCUUAAAGGAAAGACUAAAAGGAUAAAAAGGAACUCGGCAAACCAAAACCCCGCCUGUUUACCAAAAACAUCGCCUCCUGCCACCAAC
rnacentral:rRNA from 1 species